UUUUCCAGACUCCAUUUUAGGCUCGCUCUGGGCUGCGAAGGGUGUUGGAUGAGCAGCUGUUUGCGGGGCAGCGGCGGGCUACGUCAAAGCCGUGCCUGGGCUCUGGCCUUGUUGCGCGUGCACGCUGUGUGACGCUACCCUCCCGUCCCUUGGGGCCUGGGCCGUGCUGAGCUUGAGAAGGAAAUAGCAGCUCCCAGCGGACAGAAAUGGGCGCUGGGAUCCGCGCGGCCACUCACGUUUCUGGAAGGCGCUCCUGCUCUGAAUCUUGCCGUUCCUAAGCCUGAUUCACCGUCGGGCGCCUAGACAACCGCCGGCCCCGAUGGAGACCCCAGUAUCGGGGGCGCCUAUUACCCUCAUCAUCAAAGCGCCCAACCAGAAGUACACGGACCAGACCAUCAGCUGCUUCAUGGACUGGACUGUCGGGAGACUGAAAUGUCACCUCUCCAAGGUGUACCCCAGUAAGCCGUCUACCAAGGAUCAGAGAUUGGUUUAUUCUGGCAGGUUGCUUCCUGAUCACCUGCAACUGAAAGAUAUUCUCAGAAAACAAGAUGAGUAUCAUAUGGUUCAUUUAGUAUGUUCUUCACGGACACCCCCAAAUUCCCCCAAACCUGAUACUAUUAGAGAAAGUCGUGAGUCUUCAGCAUCUAGCAACAGCUUGAGUUCAGAACAUUUGGGAUCAGCAUCUCCUUCCCUCUCUCAAGAAACUGUAUAUACAGCUGUCAGUAAUUCUGAAGGUGUGCGACAUCGCAACCUUGCACAGACACAAAAUAAUCAAAUGCAAAGCCAUCCAUUCUCAUAUAUAUUACAGGGUGUAGAUAAUCAGGUUCCUGGGCAAGGAAUAUCAACUGGAUUUCCAGUAUAUCCUACUUUCAGCCCUCUACAGAUGUUAUGGUGGCAACAGAUGUAUGCACGUCAAUAUUAUAUGCAAUAUCAAGCUGCAGUUUCAGCACAGGCAACCCUGAAUCCUGAGUCUACCAGUUCUCCAGUUCCGGAGUCCUCAAGUUCUGAUCAUGUUCUUGCAAAUGAAGCCCCAGCAGCUCCAAACAUAGCUCCACAGGAGAACAGACCUAUAAAUCAAAAUGUGCAGAUGAAUGCUCAAGGAGGCCCAGUCAUAAAUGAAGAGGACUUCAAUAGAGAUUGGCUGGACUGGAUAUACACAUUCUCCAGAGCAGCUAUUCUUCUUAGUAUUGUAUAUUUCUAUUCAUCCUUCAGUCGCUUUGUUAUGGUGAUGGGAGCUAUGUUAUUAGUUUACCUGCACCAAGCUGGGUGGUUCCCUUUCAGACAAGAAGGAAUCCAACAGCCUAUAGCAAACAAUGCAGAUAUAAACCAUGAUGGUCAAAAUGUAAAUAAUGCUGGUCUUGAAGAAAUGGAACGUCUCAUGGAUGAAGGUAUUGAAGAAGAUAGUGGCGAAGACAUUGAUGAUGUCAAUGCAGAACAGCAUCCUGGAUUUAUGGCUUCCGCAUGGUCUUUCAUUACCACUUUCUUUACAUCCCUCAUUCCUGAAGGACCUCCACAAGUUGGCAAUUAAGCAAAGGAGGAACUACUAAUAGAGCAUGGAAGUUGAUUCUGGGAGAGUGGUAUUUUAAAUAUAAUGCAAUUGCUAUACAUAUACAUAUAUACACACACACACACGCACAGACACAUACAUUCUCUUUC